AUGCACAGCUUCCUGUUUUGGUCUGAUAGCUUCCCCUGGGCUUUCAUAGAUGCAAAAUUACUCACACAGAGAUGGGUUGCCCAUGCAAAAAAGGGCAUUUAUUGUUUGGAGCAAUACUGUCUAAUUGGUCCAAGCACAGAAGAAAAGAACAUUAAUGCUAUUUGCUCUGUGUUUGAUAAAACCUCUGUUUGAUACAACAGAGCACGGGACCAUGGAAAGCCUCCAUGCAACCUGACUUUAAGGAUGUCAUAAGCAAAGACAAGAAGUCAUGACUAAGUCCACUGCAUGGAAAGAUGGGUGUGUUAAUAUAUUUUCUCUCAGGUAUUGGUGCCAACUUUGAUUUCUUUUGUUAUCCAAACUUAUUCUCAGAUUAAGUAGAUUGUUUUAUAAAUGUCACUGAAUCUUAGAAUAAACGUGCCUGUCGGUGAAUGAAUAGAUUAAACACACACACACACACACACACACACACACACACACACCGAAGUAUUAUUCGGCCAUAAAAAAGAAGGAAAGUCCAUUAUUUGAGACAACACGGAUGGAACUGAAUUUGAGGGCAUUAUGCUAAGUGAAAUAAGCCAGAUGGAGAAAGAUAAAUAUUGUAUGUUUUCACUUAUAUGCAGAAUCUAAAAAAGCUGAACUCAUAGAAAUAGAGAGUUGAGUGGUGGUUGCCAGGGGUGGGCAGGUGGGAAAAAUGAGGAGAUGCUGGUCAAAGUACAAACUCCCAGCUAUAAGAUGAAUAAGCUCUGGGAAUCUUGUGUAUGGCAUUAAAUUAUAUUGACUAUAAUUAGCAAUACUAUGUUAUAUACUUAAGAGUGAAGAGAGUAAAUUUUAAUUGUUAUCACCACACAUACGCAAAAUGGUAAUUAUGUGAGAGGAUGGGGGUGUUAAAAUUGUGGUAAUCAUUUUGCAAUAUAUAUGUGUAUCAAAUCAUCACAUUGUACAUGUUAAAUUUACACGUUACAUGUCAAUAAUAUCCCAAGAAAGCUGAAAAAAUUAAAUUAAAAACACACUUUGUGUAAAAAAAGAAAGUUAAAUGGAACUUCUAAUGCAAUUUUUAAAAAGUUAAGGAGAAAAUUGGCUUUAUCAUUAGAAGUGAUAACAUAUAAAUGCUGAACAAUGUACAAAUUCUACUGCUUGUAAUAAAAGAUUAAGACUUAAAAAAAAAAAGCUGGGCAUAAAAUGCUUUAAAUUUUGGUUCACAUCAAUUUGUCCAUGAAGGACGAUUUUCUGAAUUCUUUACUGAGCUUAUGUUUUUGAAAUGGAGGUAAAAAGGUUUCUCAACUCAAAACCAUAAUAGACUAGUUGCUAUAUGUUCAGUAAGUAGUUCUGACUAUGAUUCAGGGUAUUCUUAGGGGGUUUCCAUGAGACAGGACAAUAGAUACUUUGUGGUUUGGCUUUUUAUACUGGUUAUUGAUAGAUAAAACAAGUUCUCAUCUACACAUUGUUUUCACUGCCUUCUUUUGUAACAUUCCCCUAUAAGCAUGUUGUUAUUAAAUGAUUUGAUAAACCAUGGGCUCAGAUUGAUUAAACUCUAUGGGACAGCUGCAUCACAACUGAACCAAUGGAUGUUUUGUUAAGAAGUAUCUUUUAGUGAAAUAAUUCAACCUGUCUGUGGUUUAACGAUAGUAUAUCAGAGUUGACAGAGUAUUUUUUCCAAGCAUUUGCUUUUACUAUUUGGGAAACACAAUUGU
rnacentral:lncRNA from 1 species